rnacentral:lncRNA from 1 species
UCACUCGAGAAGAGCUACAAUGCAUUGAUCCCGAUCUACUUGAGCGUCAUCAGAGCGGAAUCGACCCACACUCGAUAGGAUCGAGUUUCCCCCACAUCGGGAGAAUUGAUGCGGACACUAGAGCCAUCAAAAAUCGACAACAUGAUUUAAAUUCGAUUUGGAUCGAAGAAGCCUUAUUAGAUUGAUUCUACUUCAGUUAUUUAUUUUCAGUCAAUAAAUUUUUAAUGCAUUUAGCUUUGGGUCCAUAGGGCCAUACUUGGAUUUGUCCACAUUAUCUUUGGAGCCACCACUCUCCACAUGCCAAGAGAAGAAAUGUCACGCCCCA